rnacentral:rRNA from 1 species
UACAGAGGUGGCGAGCGUUGUUCGGAAUUACUAGGCGUAAAGGGCAGGCAGGCGGAUCCAUAAGUUUAUCGUUUAAGGCGUCGGCUUAACCGGCGUAGGGCGGUAGAUACUGUGGAUCUGGAAUGCGGUUGGGGAAGACAGAAUUCCUGGUGUAGCGGUGGAAUGCGCAGAGAUCAGGAGGAAUACCGAAGGCGAAGGCAGUCUUCCAAGCCGUUAUUGACGCUCAACUGCGAAGGUGUGGGUAUCAAACAGGAUUAGAUACCCUGGUAGU